AAGAUCAGCAGUUUUGUGCUCACACUAAUUCUGAGACCUGGACAUUGGGAACACAUUUAGAUGAAUCUUUCAUGAACAGAGAAAUGAAAUCAGUGAAGAAGCUCAUCAUCAUUUACUCUCUAUUUCAAGCUGUUUUGUGUAGAGAAUUCUCCAUCAGUCUACCAGAGAGUGUAGAAGCUCUGAGAGGACUCUGUGUUCUCAUACCCUGCAGUUUUCAGAUUGAAGAACAAUAUAACGUAGACCUCCGGGGAGAUCCUACAGGAAUCUGGUUAAAAUAUGGCACUGAUGUCAGUAACAAAGUCUUU